UGCUCUUGUUUUAUUUUUAUUUCUUUAAAAUCGAUCGUUGUUAUUUUAUUUUUUUAGUCUGAUAUUUAGAAAAGUCGUCAUGAAUACAUUAAAUUUUCGUAAUUCUUAAAUAUCAUUAUUUAAAGUAUAUUAAGCUAGUUAUUAAAUUUGAAGCUCAAAAAAUCAAUUAAAGAUCGAAUUAUUAAGAGAAAAAAAGUUGCAGGCUUUCUCCGUAAUUGCAUAAAUUGGUAGGAAUAUAGAUUUGACUAGUAAUAAUGUGAGUUACUUUAAAUUGCUUAAAAGAUUCGUUGUUUGUUUUAGAAUGUGUUUUCUUUCAAACAUUGUUGAGACAAAAGGCAAAUUUUGCUUUUCUUUAUGUCAUCUCAAGACAAAGAAAGUAAUGUUUAAUUUGAUUUAUGCUACACAAGUCAAAAAUGAAUCAAAGAAAAUCUUGGGCAUUGUCAACUUUUGCAACGUUUCAUUUCAAACGGAUACAUUACACACAAAUCACAAUACACUAUAUAUGAGAUCCUUUUUCUUAUAUACAACAAGGCACAGUACACACACUGAUAGAACACACAAAAUCAGAACUUUCUCCGAACACACCCACCCUCUUUACUCGUUCCUCCGGUGAGCACGGCUGAACUCCGGUGACAUCCACUGCCAAUCAAGAUAAAACCACCUUCACGCCCUUCCUUCUAAUCUUUCAGUAGCCACCCACCAACCCACAACACCGGCAACCACCAACCACAAGCCAGCAACAGCAGCAGCCAACGACGGCCGUCGGACCGGCGAGCCUCUAUCAGAUGCCGCCUCCCUUCGUCUCGAUCACACGGCAACCUCCCCCUUCUCCUUCAUUGCGCUGUUCUUUCUCCUCCGAGAGUAGCUCCGGCGAUACCUCCUUGCGCUCGUAUAUUUGCCACCAACUGCUCCGGCGUUUCAUCAUGGUCGAAGCAGCGGUAUUGGUUAUUUUGGAAUACUCGUCAGCAGUUGCAGUCAAAGGAGCCCUUAAAUUUUAUAUUGUAUUUUAUAUUCUCACAUUUGUACAAAUAACAAAAAUACUAAAAACUUUCCUUUUUGGGUAUCGGGCGAGGAUAUCCUUCAUUUACAUAUUUUCAUCGCUUUUAUGCAAGACUUAGGCCAUUAAUAUUUAUAUAAAACAAUUAAGUUAAUCAACUAAUUUACAUAUUCGCAUAUUACAUUGUCUUCUUUUUUUUUUUUUAAAUUUUCUUAUUUCGAUUUAGUUUAUUUUUUACAUACAUAUACUAAUAUAAAUUUUUUUUACAAUAAAACAUAUAUAUUAUUUUACUAUACUUAAUAGAAGAAUCAAGUUAAUUAAGUAAUUCACGUAUUGUUCUCUCAAAUAAAUUUUACUUUUCUUUCUAAUUUUAAUCAAAUAAAAAUAUUGCUUGUAAAUACAUCACUUUUCAUGCCAUAAAAAAUACAUUUUUUUUCAUGCAUCAUAAAAAGCUCUUCCUUUUCAUAUGCACAUUUAUAUAUUUUAUAACUACAUCUCAUUUAUACAGUUAAUAUACAUAUGCCUUUACAUAGUCUAAAAACAUUUAUAUUUUUCAAUGAAAUUAUUUUAUACUUAAUAUACAUACAAAUUUUUAUAUAUAUUUUAAAUAUACCUCCUCUUUCUUUGAUAAAUUUAGUCUAGCCGGGUACCACAAUUGUGGAUCUCGAAGGGUUCCUAAUCCCUUCCCUUUGAGAUAAUUUAAACCCUUACCUAAAAUCUCAAUUGGUUUUUCACAGAUUGAAACAUUGAUUAUACAUGUUAAUAAUUCAAUAGGUUUCCUUAUUUUUCUUUAAAAUUAGAUGGCGACUCUGUACAUAAGUUUAAAUUAUUUUAGAGUCCAUAACGUCGUGCUAGUUUAGACCUUCAAGUAAAAAUAGGGUAUGAAAUUGGAUAUGCAUACUAGUACAUCUGUAUUAACCCCUUAUAUUUAAGUAUUCCAAGACACAAUCCAAGAUUCUCGUUAAGAAGUA